UCUCUCGUGGUCCAACGGUUCAAGACACGCGCCUGUCACAAAUCGGCAAAUCCCGAACAAUCGCGCGUAACCCGGGUUCGACUCCCGGCGAGGGAG